rnacentral:rRNA from 1 species
GAUGAACGCUGGCGGCGUGCCUAAUACAUGCAAGUCGAGCGAACGGACGAGAAGCUUGCUUCUCUGAUGUUAUCGGCGGACGGGUGAUUAACACGUGGAUAACCUACCUAUAAGACUGGGAUAACUUCGGGAAACCGUAGCUAAUACCGGAUAAUAUUUUGAACCGCAUUGUUCAAAAGUUAAAUACGGUCUUGCUGUCACUUAUAGCUUGAUCCGCGCUGCAUUAGCUAGUUGGUAAGGUAACGGCUUACCAAGGCAACGAUGCAUAGCCGACCUGAGAGGGUGAUCGGACACACUGGAACUGAGAAACGGUCCAGACUCCUACGGGAGGCAGCAGUAGGGAAUCUUCCGCAAUGGGCGAAAGCCUGACGGAGCAAAGCCGCGUGAGUGAUGAAGGUCUUCGGAUCGUAAAACUAUGUUAGUAGGGAAGAACAUAUGUGUAAGUAACUGUGAACAUAUUGACGGUACCUAAUCAGAAAGCCACGGCUAACUACGUG